rnacentral:rRNA from 1 species
AGAGUUUGAUUCUGGCUCAGAACGAACGCUGGCGGCGUGGAUAAGACAUGCAAGUCGAACGGGAUUUUUCUUUGUAGCAAUACAGAGAAAAGUCUAGUGGCGAACGGGUGCGUAACACGUGAGCAACCUGCCGUGAAGUGGGGGAUAGCUCGCCGAAAGGCGAAUUAAUACCGCAUGUGGCCAGGAAGGACAUCCUUCCGACGCCAAAGCCGGGGCAACCUGGCGCUUCUCGAGGGGCUCGCGGCCUAUCAGCUUGUUGGUGAGGUAACGGCUCACCAAGGCUAUGACGGGUAGCUGGUCUGAGAGGACGACCAGCCACACUGGAACUGAGACACGGUCCAGACACCUACGGGUGGCAGCAGUCGAGAAUUUUUCACAAUGGGGGAAACCCUGAUGGAGCGACGCCGCGUGGAGGAUGACGGUUUUCGGAUUGUAAACUCCUGUCAUUAGAGAACAAGGCACAUGGUUUAACUGGCCGUGUGUUGAUAGUAUCUGAAGAGGAAGAGACGGCUAACUCUGUGCCAGCAGCCGCGGUAAUACAGAGGUCUCAAGCGUUGUUCGGAUUCAUUGGGCGUAAAGGGUGCGUAGGUGGCGAGGUAAGUCGGAUGUGAAAUCUCCAAGCUCAACUUGGAAACUGCAUUCGAUACUGCUUUGCUAGAGGAUUGUAGAGGGCAUUGGAAUUCACGGUGUAGCAGUGAAAUGCGUAGAUAUCGUGAGGAAGACCAGUGGCGAAGGCGAAUGCCUGGGCAAUUCCUGACACUGAGGCACGAAGGCCAGGGGAGCAAACGGGAUUAGAUACCCCGGUAGUCCUGGCAGUAAACGGUGCACGUUUGGUGUGGGAGGAUUCGACCCCUUCCGUGCCGGAGCUAACGCGUUAAACGUGCCGCCUGGGGAGUACGGUCGCAAGAUUAAAACUCAAAGAAAUUGACGGGGACCCGCACAAGCGGUGGAGUAUGUGGCUUAAUUCGAUCAACGCGAAGAACCUUACCUGGCCUUGACAUGCAUCUCUAAACCGGUGAAAGCCGGCGAGCGUAGCAAUACGCAAUUUGCACAGGUGCUGCAUGGCUGUCGUCAGCUCGUGUCGUGAGAUGUUGGGUUAAGUCCCGCAACGAGCGCAACCCCUGUGAACUGUUGCCAUGGAGACGUGAGUCUCCGGCACUCUGUUCAGACUGCCCUGUUCAACGGGGAGGAAGGUGGGGACGACGUCAAGUCAGUAUGGCCCUUACGGCCAGGGCUGCACACGUACUACAAUGCCCGAAACAGAAGGAUCCGAGACCGCGAGGUGGAGGAAAUCACUAAAUUCGGGCCCAGUUCGGAUUGGAGGCUGCAACUCGCCUCCAUGAAGCCGGAAUCGCUAGUAAUGGCGCAUCAGCUACGGCGCCGUGAAUACGUUCCCGGGUCUUGUACACACCCCCCGUCACAUCAUGGGAGUCGUUUGUACCCGAAGUGCGCGCGCCAACCGCAAGGAGGCAGCGCCCUAAGGUACGAGCGGUAACUGGGAUGAAGUCGUAACAAGGUA